rnacentral:rRNA from 1 species
CGAAAGCCUGACGGAGCAAUACCGCGUGAGGGAUGACGGCCUAUGGGUUGUAAACCUCUUUUUUCAGGGAGGAAUAAAUGACGUGUACCUGAAGAAUAAGCAUCGGCUAACUCCGUGCCAGCAGCCGCGGUAAUACGGAGGAGGCAAGCGUUAUCCGGAUUUAUUGGGCGUAAAGCGUCCGCAGGUGGCGAUUCAAGUCUGCUGUCAAAGCACGGGGCUUAACUCCGUAAAGGCAGUGGAAACUGAAUAGCUAGAGUGCCGUAGGGGUAGAGGGAAUUCCCGGUGUAGCGGUGAAAUGCGUAGAGAUCGGGAAGAACAUCGGUGGCGAAAGCGCUCUACUGGACGGCAACUGACACUCAGGGACGAAAGCUAGGGGAGCG